rnacentral:rRNA from 1 species
AGCGAACGCUAGCGGCGGGCUUAACACAUGCAAGUCGAGCGGUCCUUCGGGACAGCGGCGAACGGGUGAGUAACACGUGGGUUACCUGCCCUCUGGUGGGGGAUAAGCCAGGGAAACUUGGUCUAAUACCGCAUGAGGUCUACGGAUCAAAGCCUUCGGGCGCCAGAGGAGGGGCCUGCGUCCCAUUAUUUAAUCCUAGUUGGUGGGGUAACGGCCUACCAAGGGUACGAUGGGUAGCUGGUCUGAGAGGAUGAUCAGCCACACUGGGACUGAGACACGGCCCAGACUCCUACGGGAGGCAGCAGUGGGGAAUAUUGCGCAAUGGGCGAAAGCCUGACGCAGCUACGCCGCGUGAGUGAUGAAGGCCCUCGGGUCGUAAAGCUCUGUCGGGAGGGAAGAAGUUCUGACGGUACCUCCCAAGAAAGCACCGGCUAACUCCG